UUCCUGGUAGCUCAGAUGGUAAAGCAUCUGCCUUCGAUGCGGGAAACCCGGGUUCGAUCCCUGGGUCGGAAA
rnacentral:tRNA from 1 species